rnacentral:rRNA from 1 species
AUUGAACGCUGGCGGUAUGCUUAACACAUGCAAGUCGAACGAUGAGAAAGAGCUUGCUCUUUCGAUUAGUGGCGGACGGGUGCGUAACGCGUAGGAAUCUACCUAUUAGUGGGGGACAACUUAGGGAAACUUAAGCUAAUACCGCAUACGCCCUACGGGGGAAAGAGGGGGAUCGCAAGACCUCUUGUUAUUGGAGCGGCCGAUGGCUGAUUAGCUAGUUGGUGAGGUAAAGGCUCACCAAGGCGACGAUCAGUAGCGGGUCUUAGAGGACGAUCCGCCACACUGGAACUGAGACACGGUCCAGACUCCUACGGGAGGCAGCAGUGGGGAAUCUUGGACAAUGGGCGCAAGCCUGAUCCAGCAAUGCCGCGUGCGUGAAGAAGGCCUUCGGGUUGUAAAGCGCUUUUGUCAGGGAGCAAAUCCUUGUGGCUAAUACCCACCGGGGAUGAGAGUACCUGAAGAAUGAGGACCGGCUAACUACGUGCCAGCCGCCGCCGUAAUAC